rnacentral:rRNA from 1 species
CACGUAGGGCGCAAGCGUUGUCCGGAAUUACUGGGCGUAAAGGGCGCGUAGGUGGCCUUCUAAGUUGAACGUGAAAUCCCUGGGCUCAACCCAGGAACUGCGUCCAAGACUGGGAGGCUUGAAUCCGGGAGAGGGAUGCGGAAUUCCAGGUGUAGCGGUGAAAUGCGUAGAUAUCUGGAGGAACACCGGUGGCGAAGGCGGCAUCCUGGACCGGUAUUGACACUGAGGCGCGAAAGCCAGGGGAGCAAACGGG